rnacentral:tRNA from 3 species
GGGGCAGUAGCUCAGUUUGGCAGAGCGCCGCGUUCGCAAUGCGGAGGUCAGGAGUUCGACCCUCCUCUGCUCCACCA